rnacentral:rRNA from 1 species
UACAGAGGUGGCAAGCGUUGUUCGGAAUUACUGGGCGUAAAGGGCGCGUAGGCGGCCAUCUAAGUCAGACGUGAAAUCCCCCGGCUUAACCUGGGAACUGUGUCUGAUACUGGAAGGCUCGAGUUUGGGAGAGGGAUGCAGAAUUCCAGGUGUAGCGGUGAAAUGCGUAGAUAUCUGGAGGAAUACCGGUGGCGAAGGCGGCAUCCUGGACCAACACUGACGCUGAGGCGCGAAAGCUAGGGGAGCAAACGGG